GGGGCUGACUUGGAUUUCGACAGAUUUCUUGUCGCACAGACAGCAUGCCAAGUGCUACUUGUAAAACAGCAACGAAAAUAACUGUAAACAACACAGAUUACGCUCCAGCUUACGCUAAAGCUGCGUGAGUUAAUCUCCUUUUGGAGCUGGACUGAUUAGAAUUUCUAGCGUUUUAAUCACUCCAUAACCUUAAGCUAGACGCUUUUAAAAGGUGGUUCGCCUUUUAAACUAAGAAACAAGAACUCUUGAAACUACCUCAAGGUUUUAGAAAGUUGGACCAGAGCUAGUUUUAAGGCUAAAAAACUAACCAAUUUUCUAAGCAUUGUAGAAGUUUGUGUUUAGGGCAAGAUUUUUGGACUGGGGUUCGAUUCCCCACAGCUCCACCA
rnacentral:tmRNA from 1 species